GGGAAAAAAAAACCCACGCAGGGGAGAGUCCGGAAGAGGAAACCCUCCCCAACAGGACAGUUCGAGCGCUGGCCAGCGAAAAGAAGAGGCGCCUCUGGUCUUCGGGCACGCCUUCCCCAAAACCCGCAGGGCCAUGUUCCACCUCCGAAGGCACUGGGGGACUCUGGUCGCCUCCGCGUCGAGGCGCCCGCCCUGGGUAGAGGUAUGUGCAUCUUUUGCUACAGAUCCCAGACAAUAUGAUGGGACGUUCUAUGAAUUUCGUACUUAUAUCAUACAACCAGCCAAAAUGAAUGAAUUCCUGGAAAACAUUAAUAAACAUAUUCACCUUCGUACAGCUCACUCUGAAUUAGUUGGAUGUUGGAGACAAGAGUUUGGAGGUGUGAUGAAUAAAGUCUUUCAUAUUUGGAAAUAUGAUAAUUUUGCUCAUCGAGCUAAAGUUUGGGAAGCCUUAGCCAAGGAUAAAGAAUGGCAAGAAAAAUUUAUUUCCAAAAGCCUACCACUUAUAGUCCAACAGAAGAACGAAAUAACUUAUCUAGUACCAUGGUGCAAAAUAGUAAAGCCUCCUAAAGAAGGAGUAUAUGAACUUGCUACCUUUCAGAUGAAGCCUGGUGGGCCAGCUCUGUGGGGUGAACACUUUCAAAAAGCAGUGAAUACUCAUAUCCAAGUAGGCUAUUCAAAACUGAUUGGAGUUUUCCACACUGAAUAUGGAACACUUAAUAGAGUUACAGGGGAGCUACCUCAUGUGGACUCUAAAAGUGGCAUGGUGCACAAGGAAGUAGCAGCAGCACCAAGGAAAGUAAAAGUGAGACAAGCAGCUAGAUUAGACCAAGGAAAGAGGAAUUCUGUGCCAGAGGAGACUCAGUUCUGAGGGCAUUGAGGGUCUGAUUCUCAAGAUAUCUAAAAGAGAAGGGAGGAUGGCAAAUCCUUGGUUUAAAAAAAUCAGUGAUCUCAUCUUUUUUUAAAGUUCAUGUUCUUUGGUGGACUGAGACAGCAGACAGUCGAGCAGCUGGAAGACAUAGAUCCCAUGAAGACGCCCGGGUUGUGGCAGCUG